AUUGAACGCUGGCGGAAUGCUUUACACAUGCAAGUCGAGCGGCAGCGCGGGGCAACCUGGCGGCGAGCGGCGAACGGGUGAGUAAUGCAUCGGAACGUACCCAGUCGUGGGGGAUAACUGUCCGAAAGGACAGCUAAUACCGCAUACGUCCUGAGGGAGAAAGCGGGGGAUCGCAAGACCCCGCGCGAUUGGAGCGGCCGAUGCCGGAUUAGCUAGUUGGUAGGGUAAAGGCCUACCAAGGCGACGAUCCGUAGCUGGUCUGAGAGGACGACCAGCCACACUGGAACUGAGACACGGUCCAGACUCCUACGGGAGGCAGCAGUGGGGAAUUUUGGACAAUGGGGGCAACCCUGAUCCAGCCAUUCCGCGUGAGUGAAGAAGGCCUCGGUUGUAAG
rnacentral:rRNA from 1 species